rnacentral:rRNA from 1 species
GGUAACAGAACUAGCUUGCUAGUUGCUGACGAGCGGCGGACGGGUGCGUACACGUAGGAAUCUGCCCGGUAGUGGGGGAUAGCCCGGAGAAAUUCGGAUUAAUACCGCAUACGCCCUAAGGGGGAAAGCAGGGGAUCUUCGGACCUUGCGCUAUCGGAUGAGCCUGCGUCGGAUUAGCUUGUUGGUGGGGUAAUGGCCUACCAAGGCAACGAUCCGUAGCUGGUCUGAGAGGAUGAUCAGCCACACUGGGACUGAGACACGGCCCAGACUCCUACGGGAGGCAGCAGUGGGGAAUAUUGCACAAUGGGAGAAAGCCUGAUGCAGCCAUGCCGCGUGUGUGAAGAAGGCUCUAGGGUUGUAAAGCACUUUCAGCGAGGAGGAAAGGUUGUAGAUUAAUACUCUGCAACUGUGACGUUACUCGCAGAAGAAGCACCGGCUAACUCCGUGCCAGCAGCCGCGGUAAUACGGAGGGUGCGAGCGUUAAUCGGAAUUACUGGGCGUAAAGCGUGCGUAGGCGGCUUGUUAAGUUGGAUGUGAAAGCCCCGGGCUCAACCUGGGAACUGCAUCCAAAACUGGCAAGCUAGAGUGCGGAAGAGGAGUGUGGAAUUUCCUGUGUAGCGGUGAAAUGCGUAGAUAUAGGAAGGAACACCAGUGGCGAAGGCGACACUCUGGUCUGACACUGACGCUGAGGUACGAAAGCGUGGGGAGCAAACAGGAUUAGAUACCCUGGUAGUCCACGCCGUAAACAUGUCUACUAGUCGUCG